rnacentral:rRNA from 1 species
AGUGAGGCUUUCGGACUGAUCUAAGGGAGGAGGCAACUCUUCCCCCUGGUCGGAAAGUUAUCCAAACUCGGUCAUUUAGAGGAAGUAAAAGUCGUAACAAGGUCUCCGUUGGUGAACCAGCGGAGGGAUCAUUACUGAGUUUACGCUCUACAACCCUUUGUGAACAUACCUACAACUGUUGCUUCGGCGGGUAGGGUCUCCGCGACCCUCCCGGCCUCCCGCCUCCGGGCGGGUCGGCGCCCGCCGGAGGAUAACCAAACUCUGAUUUAACGACGUUUCUUCUGAGUGGUACAAGCAAAUAAUCAAAACUUUUAACAACGGAUCUCUUGGUUCUGGCAUCGAUGAAGAACGCAGCGAAAUGCGAUAAGUAAUGUGAAUUGCAGAAUUCAGUGAAUCAUCGAAUCUUUGAACGCACAUUGCGCCCGCCAGCAUUCUGGCGGGCAUGCCUGUUCGAGCGUCAUUUCAACCCUCAAGCUCUGCUUGGUGUUGGGGCCCUACAGCCGAUGUAGGCCCUCAAAGGUAGUGGCGGACCCUCCCGGAGCCUCCUUUGCGUAGUAACUUUACGUCUCGCACUGGGAUCCGGAGGGACUCUUGCCGUAAAACCCCCCAAUUUUCCAAAGGUUGACCUCGGAUCAGGUAGGAAUACCCGCUGAACUUAAGCAUAUCAAUAAGCGGAGGAAAAGAAACCAACAGGGAUUGCCUCAGUAACGGCGAGUGAAGCGGCAACAGCUCAAAUUUGAAAUCUGGCCCCAGGCCCGAGUUGUAAUUUGCAGAGGAUGCUUUUGGUGCGGUGCCUUCCAAGUUCCCUAGAACGGGACGCCAGAGAGGGUGAGAGCCCCGU